GACGAACGCUGGCGGCGUGCCUAAUACAUGCAAGUAGAACGCUGAAGGGAGGAGCUUGCUCUUCUUGGAUGAGUUGCGAACGGGUGAGUAACGCGUAGGUAACCUGCCUUGUAGCGGGGGAUAACUAUUGGAAACGAUAGCUAAUACCGCAUAACAAUGGAUGACACAUGUCAUUUAUUUGAAAGGGGCAAUUGUUCCACUACAAGAUGGACCUGCGUUGUAUUAGCUAGUAGGUGAGGUAAUGGCUCACCUAGGCGACGAUACAUAGCCGACCUGAGAGGGUGAGCGGCCACACUGGGACUGAGACACGGCCCAGACUCCUACGGGAGGCAGCAGUAGGGAAUCUUCGGCAAUGGGGGCAACCCUGACCGAGCAACGCCGCGUGAGUGAAGAAGGUUUUCGGAUCGUAAAGCUCUGUUGUAAGUCAAGAACGGGGGUGAGAGUGGAAAGUUCACACUGUGACGGUAGCUUACCAGAAAGGGACGGCUAACUACGUG
rnacentral:rRNA from 1 species